AGUGAACGCUGGCGGUAGGCCUAACACAUGCAAGUCGAACGGCAGCACACUAAGAGCUUGCUCUUAUGGGUGGCGAGUGGCGGAAGGGUGAGGAAUACAUCGUAAUCUACUUUUUCGUGGGGGAUAACGAAGGGGGACUUACGCUAAUACCGCAUACGACCUACGGGUGAGAGCAGGGGAUCGUUGGACCUGUCGCGAUUGAAUGAGCCGAUGUCGGAUUAGCUAGUUGGCGGGGUAAAGGCCCACCAAGGCGACGAUCCGUAGCCGGGCUGAGAGGAUGAUCAGCCACACUGGAACUGAGACACGGUCCAGACUCCUACGGGAGGCAGCAGUGGGGAAUAUUGGACAAUGGGCGCAAGCCUGAUCCAGCCAUACCGCGUGGGUGAAGAAGGCCUUCGGGUUGUAAAGCCCUUUUGUUGGGAAAGAAAGGCAGCAGGUUAAUACCCCGCUGUUCUGACGGUACCCAAAGAAUAAGCACCGGCUAACUUCGUG
rnacentral:rRNA from 1 species